UACGUAGGGUGCGAGCGUUGUUCGGAAUUACUGGGCGUAAAGGGCGCGUAGGCGGUCUUGCAAGUCCUGUGUGAAAUCCCUCGGCUCAACUGAGGAACUGCACAGGAAACUGCUUGGCUUGAGUUCGGGAGAGGGAAGCGGAAUUCCGGGUGUAGCGGUGAAAUGCGUAGAUAUCCGGAGGAACACCGGUGGCGAAGGCGGCUUCCUGGACCGACACUGACGCUGAGGCGCGAAAGCUAGGGGAGCAAACGGG
rnacentral:rRNA from 1 species